UACGUAGGGGGCAAGCGUUGUCCGGAUUUACUGGGCGUAAAGAGCGCGCAGGCGGUCGUUCAAGUCGCGUGUGAAAGCCCCCGGCUCAACUGGGGAGGGUCACGCGAUACUGAUCGACUCGAAGGCAGGAGAGGGAAGUGGAAUUCCCGGUGUAGUGGUGAAAUGCGUAGAUAUCGGGAGGGAACACCAGUGGCGAAGGCGGCCACCUGGACAACAACUGACGCUGAGACGCGAAAGCGUGGGUAGCAAACAGGG
rnacentral:rRNA from 1 species